AACGUAGGAGACAAACGUUAUCCGGAUUUACUGGGCGUAAAGGGCGUGUAGGUGGUUUCGUAAGUCUGGCGUGAAAUAUCUCGGCUUAACCGAGGCAGGUCGUCGGAUACUGCGGAACUGGAGGACGGUAGAGGCGUGUGGAAUUCCGGGUGUAGUGGUGAAAUGCGUAGAGAUCCGGAGGAACACCAGUGGCGAAGGCGACACGCUGGGCCGUACCUGACACUGAUGCGCGACAGCAUGGGGAGCAAACAGG
rnacentral:rRNA from 1 species